rnacentral:rRNA from 1 species
AGUGUAGGUGGUUGUCAUAGUCAGGUGUGAAAGCCUUGAGCUCAACUCAAGAAAUGCACUUGAUACUGGGCGACUAGAGGACCGGAGAGGAUAGUGGAAUUCCCAGUGUAGUGGUGAAAUACGUAGAGAUUGGGAAGAACACCAGUGGCGAAGGCGGCUAUCUGGACGGUUUCUGACACUAAGACUCGAAAGCGUGGGGAGCAAACA